rnacentral:rRNA from 1 species
CCUACGGGAGGCAGCAGUGGGGAAUAUUGCGCAAUGGGCGCAAGCCUGAUGCAGCCAUGCCGCGUGUAUGAAGAAGGCCUUCGGGUUGUAAAGUACUUUCAGCGGGGAGGAAGGGUUGCUGGUUAAUAACCAGUGACAUUGACGUUACCCGCAGAAGAAGCACCGGCUAACUCCGUGCCAGCAGCCGCGGUAAU